UUGUCAACAAAUUUAUUUAACUAUAAUUUUUUUUUGUCAAUUAAAAAAAAAAAAGAGGAAGGAAAUAACCCAACCCUAAAACUAAAAGCGAUUUUGGAUUUGGAAAGGCGAAGCUGAGGGUGAACCAUGAGCGGCGAUACUAGUGAUUCCUUCAGUUACUUUGAUGGGCGAGAGCCAGAUGAACUGAUCAGGGCCCUCUUUGGGAAAUAUCCGGGUACCGAUGGUGAAAUAACGCACGGUUUGCACUUUAUUGAUCUGGAAAGCAAUAAAGUCUUUAUUAGGGCGAUGCCACCUGAUGCUCGUUCAUGUUCCACUGCCGUUGCUUGUGGCAACCACGUUAACGUUAUUGGGGGAAUACGCGAAAAUGAUGCUAAUUUUCGUGGUUAUGAUGGAGUAAACGAUGUUUUCCAAUUAGAUUUGAAGGACCUUGAACGUGGGUGGAGAAAAACUACUUCUAUGUUGUUCCCUCGGGCUUUUCCCCUGGUUCUUGCUGCUGAAGGAAAGAUUUACGUCUUCGAAUAUUGGGGUUCUGAAUCUUUUGGCGAGGUUUACGAUAUAAGUAGGGAUAUUUGGGAACCAUUGUCGCCCCCUCCGGAAGAUAUCGAUCUAUGUGUUCCUGUUCUAGAUUCUUCCCGAUCUCGGAUUUUGGUGCACUGCCAUGCCAGUGAUACUCUUUACGCUUAUUACUAUGAUCGUAAAUCAUGGGUUUGCCUCGAACAAAAAUUUUGUUACUGGUCUGACUCAGCGACAAUCGUGGACGAUGUGCUGUAUACUUUGAUUUAUAAUUAUUCUUGUAAGUUCCGUUCUUUGGAGGCAUAUAAUUUGUUUGAUAAGAAACAUUUGCCCGUCAAAUUGUCAUCAGAAUUUUCAGUGGCUCCACCACUGGGUAGCACUCUGUAUCAUUUGGGCAAUGGCAAGCUUAUUUCGGGUUGGGUCAACCAUUUCCAUAAGCGUUUUGAGUACAUAAGAUUUAAUAUUUGGUGCAACGAGCAGGGAGGGAUUCAUGCAGCUGUAGAGCAUCAAUCUGCCAUCACUGUUCCAUAUCCCGAAGAUAUUUCUAAUAUAUGGUUGUUCUGAAUGAAGGUUAGAUCCCCCUUCAUAUCACUAGGACAUCAUAAUUAUUCAUUUGCCUAUGCUGCUUGCCAUUACAUUUGAUUUGCUCUAAAUGAAGGGCUUGGGCAACCACGUUUACGUUCUUGGGGGAAUAAGCAGAACUGAUGCUACUUUUGGUGGUUAUGAUGUUGUAAACGAUGUUUUCCAAUUAGAUUGGAAGGACCUUGAACGUGGGUGGAGAAAAACUACUUCUAUGUUGUUCCCUCGGGCUUUUCCCCUGGUUUUUGCUGCAGAAGGAAAGAUUUACGUCUUCGAACAAUUGGGUUUUGAAUCUUUUGGCGAGGUUGACGAUAUAAGUGGGGAUAUCUGGGAACCAUUGUCGCCCCCUCCGGAAGCUAUCGCAAGUAAUCCUGUUCUAGAUUCUUCCCGAUCUCAGAUUUUGGUGCACUGCCAUGUCAAUGAUUCUCUUUACGCUUAUUACUAAUGAUCGUAAAUCAUGGGUUUGCCUCGAGCAAAAAUUUUGUUACUAUGAUCCACCAAGGAGUGGGACUCUGUUUUGUCUGGGCAAUGGCGAGUGUAUUUUGGGUUGGGUCAACCAUAUCGAUAUGAGUUUUGAGUACAUAAGGUUUAAUAUGUGGUGCAACGAGCGGGGAGGGAUUCAUGCAGCUGCAGAGCAUCAAUCUGCCAUCACUGUUCCAUAUUGAUCCAAAGAUAUUUGUGAUAUAUUUUUGUUCUGAAUGAAGGUUAGAGCUCCCUUCAUAUCACUACUACAUGUCUACAUCAUAAUUAUUCAUUUGCCAAUGCUGCUUGCCAUGACAUUUGGUUUGCUCUAAAUGAAGGCCUUAGUUGGAACGUGUUGGUGCAUGGAGUUGAGUCAAGACCCAUGUUGAUGGUGAAGAGAGACUUUGAAGACGCCGUCAAUUAUUUUGGUUAAAACUUUGAAGUUGUUGAUGUAAUUGGAUGCUUCCUUUUUGGAUACCGAAAUAUUGACAAAGUUAAAACUA